GGGGGAGUAAGGUUAAAGAUCCAACCCAGGUUAGGACAAGUCAUAUUUACGUGAACAAGCUUUUGAAAAUAAUAAACAAAUUCAUUGGACCAGCGCUGUUAAGAACUAGCUUCAGUCUAUGGGUAUCUGCUAGCAUGAAUUAAUGCAAUGACUGGAAGUCUAUGGGUUUCUGCUAGCAUGAAUUAGCGCAAUGGCUGGAAGUCUAUGGGUAUCUGCUAGCAUGAAUUAGCAAACUAGCUUCGCUGAUGUUUCAAUUUUUACCCCAUUUAUGCAAAGACUUCUGGGAUAUUAGAAUCCUCUUGUCUCGACCUUCACAUUUUGAACCUAGAAAUCAGGGGAUGUGUGGUGAGGUCUGAGGCCGGUUAGGCACUUUCUAUUGGACCAGCUGUAGUAACUCUCUUGCAUUGGGGACAGUGCGUGUCAGGUCAUGCUGGAACAAGAAGCUGAGAAGCUGUCUAGGUGAUUUGUCUCCGUUUGUGAACUUUACAAUCCCACAAGAUCAGCCUUAAAAGGAUGAUUCAGGAUUUUGACAAUGAUUGAUACCAUUUUUAUGUCUCUAGGUCCAGUAUGAAGGAAGUUAGAUGUAGUUUUGCGAGCCAAUGCUAACUAGAAUUAGCGCAAUGACUGGAAGUCUAUGGGUAUCUGCUAUCUAUAAGGAUUGGUCAUUGCGUUAAUGCAUACUAGCAGAUACCCAUAGACUUCCAGUCGUUUAGUUUAUUAAUUCGACCAUUUUAAAAACAAGCUCACAUAAAACUUGAAAAAGCCAUACAUUCAUGAAUAAAAUCAUAGAGGACAACACACUAUGAAGUCUGGGACUUAUUUCCAUUGUGAUACUCUGGAGACAAGCUAGCUAGACAAGAUCCAACACAGUAUGGCAGUAAAAUAAUAAAACAAAAACAUAGAAGAAGAAAAUCUAUCUCAUUAUUCCAGUUACAUCAUAGGGGUUAUUCAUAUGGGCACAGAAGACAUUAAAAAGUAAAACUAUACUUCCAGUCAUUGCGCUAGCGCUAGUUAGCAACUUCCUUCAAACUGCAUGCAGAGAUAUUGAAAUUGUAUGCACGGGACUCUGGGUCAGUAGAUAAAGGGCCUCAUCUGACUCUGGGUCAGUAGAUAAAGGACCUCAUCUGACUCUGGGUCAGUAGAUAAAGGACCUCAUCUGACUCUGGGUCAGUAGAUAAAGGACCUCAUCUGACUCUGGGUCAGUAGAUAAAGGACCUCAUCUGACUCUGGGUCAGUAGAUAAAGGGCCUCAUCUGACUCUGGGUCAGUAGAUAAAGGGCCUCAUCUGACUCUGGGUCAGUAGAUAAAGGGCCUCAUCUGACUCUGGGUCAGUAGAUAAAGGGCCUCAUCUGACUCUGGGUCAGUAGAUAAAGGGCCUCAUCUGACUCUGGGUCAGUAGAUAAAGGACCUCAUCUGACUCUGGGUCAGUAGAUAAAGGGCCUCAUCUGACUCUGGGUCAGUAGAUAAAGGGCCUCAUUGCCAAAAUACCUAAGUAUCCCUUUAAGUGUGAUGAAAUCUUGGUAUAUUUUGACAGGCUCUCGUUUACUGAUGUCAAACUUUUUCGACAUUUAAAAAUAAUAAUAAUAAGCCAAGGAAGGUGGUCAAACCUGGCUGUCAUCUGAACAUUGAUAUUGUCCAAACCUGGCUGUCAUCUGAACAUUGAUAUUGUCCAAACCUGGCUGUCAUCUGAACAUUGAUAUUGUCCAAACCUGGCUGUCAUCUGAACAUUGAUAUUGUCCAAACCUGGC
rnacentral:lncRNA from 1 species